rnacentral:lncRNA from 1 species
CACAGGCGCCCACAGCUCAGACCCACAGCUGUGACUCACCCACCUGCUGGUCUCCAGCUGGGCCACUGCCCAGGAAGGGUAGCUGAGGACAGAGAAGGAGCCCACAAGCAGGCAGGGUCCCAGGCAGGGUCUCUCUGGGCCUGCACACAGCCUGCUGACUGGCCCUGGGCAGCCCUUUUCUCACAGGACAGGAGGCCUCCAAAACCCUUUGUGCCCAAGGCCCAAGAGCACUGGGAAAGGCCUGUUGCCUGCCCCAGGAGUUGUGAAACUCCAGGAUGAAUUCAGCAUGGAACAACUUUAAUCCAUUCUAAUCUGAGGAUAAAACUCAGAGAAGUCUUUGCUCCAGGUGAGGGUGCAGUUUGCACAAUUAGCUAAAUGCUGUCAGUACCAGGCUUUGGGAUUUUCUGUUCUCCUUUCAGAGAAAAGGGCAGGGCAGGAAAUGCGGGCACCAAACUGA